AUAAAAUGACUAGGUGCAUUUUGACUAGUUCAAUUUUGGUGCACAUGUUUUGCUCUCUAUAUGCAUAGGAAUGACACUGCUAAGGCAAAAGUUCUGGGACACAUGUGCAGAACAUGCAGGUUUGUUACAAUUUGCCUUAUUGUGUGAUUUAGAGCUCAUCUGCAGUAUCUCCAAGAUCCCAGAUGCUGCCACAUUCCUUGCAAUACAGCCCCUUCCACUAUCUUCAAGGUCCUAGCCUGAGUCCUUCCUUGCUCAAUGAGGAGUCUAAAGACCUUUCACGGCUUUGGAGUUAAGAGGGUGAAAGUAGAAUGAGUAAAAGAUGACAAAUUCCUACCUUUGCUUUCCACAUUAACCACUGCUUGAAGAUAUCAACAUGUCGGCCACACUGAAUAGUUUUAUCCGCCGUGUCAAAGUCAACAUUGUAGAGUUUACCUGACUGGAAAAGAUAUUCAGCUUGCAUCUGAUUACAUGCAUCUAGAAGGCCCUAAAAAAGGAAAAACAUAUCUAACAUCCUUUUGUCUCAUAUGAAAAAUGUGGAAAACAUUCCUCCUCAGUGUU
ensembl:lncRNA novel transcript